GAUGAACGCUGGCGGCGUGCCUAAUACAUGCAAGUCGAGCGAACAGACGAGGAGCUUGCUCCUCUGACGUUAGCGGCGGACGGGUGAGUAACACGUGGAUAACCUACCUAUAAGACUGGGAUAACUUCGGGAAACCGGAGCUAAUACCGGAUAAUAUAUUGAACCGCAUGGUUCAAUAGUGAAAGACGGUUUUGCUGUCACUUAUAGAUGGAUCCGCGCCGCAUUAGCUAGUUGGUAAGGUAACGGCUUACCAAGGCAACGAUGCGUAGCCGACCUGAGAGGGUGAUCGGCCACACUGGAACUGAGACACGGUCCAGACUCCUACGGGAGGCAGCAGCAGGGAAUCUUCCGCAAUGGGCGAAAGCUUGACGGAGCAACGCCGCGUGAGUGAUGAAGGUCUUCGGAUCGUAAAACUCUGUUAUUAGGGAAGAGCAAAUGUGUAAGUAACUAUGCACGUCUUGACGGUACCUAAUCAGAAAGCCACGGCUAACUACGUG
rnacentral:rRNA from 1 species